GUAGAGGUUACAGAGGGGCCACCCACUUGGCUGGGGCAAGCAGGAAUGCUUUCCAGAGAGGCCACACUUCCAGGCUGUGGGGACCCGAGCACAGGGGUGGCGAGUUCUGGCAUUUAUUAUUAUUAUUUGUUCCAGAACAAAAUUCAACUCCCAUCCUCAGUUGGCCAAUAAUGUGGUAGGAACAGGUGGGAGCUGACCCCCAGAUGCAGGGUGCUGGGUGCUGUGCUGAUUUUCUGGGGCUGCUGUGCAAAGUACCACAGCCUGAGUGGCUUUAGACCAUGGAGAUGUGCUGUGUUGCAGUUCUGGAGGCCAGAAGUCCCAGGUGCAGGUGCCAGCAGGACUGGGCACCCUCUGAAGGCCCUAGGGAAGCGUCCCUCCUUGAGCUCCUUGGUGCCCAUCCAAGCACCUGCCCCUGCCCCUUUGGGAGCCCCACCACAGUCUAUGAUCAUGCAUUUAUUGAUCACUUAUUAACUUAUUUAUUGGCUAAUUACACAUUUGUUGACUAUUGAAAAUGCGAACUAUGUCUGGUUUACCUUUGAAUCCCAGCAUCUGUGAAGAGCCGGCUCCUGCUAUUAUUAUUGUUAAUCAGUAUUAGUAUUAGCAUUAAAUGAAUGAACAGGUA
ensembl:lncRNA novel transcript